rnacentral:rRNA from 1 species
UAGGGAAUCUUCCGCAAUGGACGCAAGUCUGACGGAGCAACGCCGCGUGAGUGAAGAAGGAUUUCGGUUCGUAAAACUCUGUUGUUAGAGAAGAACAGCGCAUAGAGUAACUGUUAUGCGUGUGACGGUAUCUAACCAGAAAGCCACGGCUAACUACGUGCCAGCAGCCGCGGUAAUACGUAGGUGGCAAGCGUUGACCGGAUUUAUUGGGCGUAAAGCGAGCGCAGGCGGUCAAUUAAGUCUGAUGUGAAAGCCCCCGGCUCGACCGGGGAGGGUCAUUGGAAACUGGUUGACUUGAGUGCAGAAGAGGAGAGUGGAAUUCCAUGUGUAGCGGUGAAAUGCGUAGAUAUAUGGAGGAACACCAGUGGCGAAGGCGACUCUCUGGUCUGUAACUGACGCUGAGGCUCGAAAGCGUGGGUAGCAAACAGG